CUGCAUUCUAUGUUCUGCAUUCUUUCUGACUCAACAUGCAUUUGGAGGGAGCCUAAACAGGAGUACCCCACAACCCAUUCAUGUCAGGCCAGCUUCUAGCGACACCAAGGACCAGCUGAUACUACUAGGCCAGAUCCUGCACAUCAGGGGCUGCAUCUUCCUUUCUCAUAAUGAAUGCACUGAAUUUAUAGAAUGAUUGGAUGAAGAAUCUGUGCAAACAUUGGGUCCAUUGAACCUACUGUGAAAUGGCCUUUUUUAAGCACUCCAGGUAUUAUCUGGAUUCUCUAUAUCCUCACUCUACUCAUGAUGAUGUUUUGGGUCCUCUCAUGUGAGUAUGAUGAGCAAAGAUUCUGUAUUGAAUCAUCCUACAGUGGUCUGCAUAUUCUCCAUUCCCCAGUGUACAGUUACUUCAGUAAAAGACUAUUGAUCAUUCUGUUGAAGAGGGAAAUGAUUGAGGAAAUUGCUACUUUCUGUCCUUACUAGAGCAUUGUAUGUUUUCGUCCUCUAUCUGAACAAUGAGCUCAAGCUCUGAGACUGGCAUGGGUCUAAAAAUGUAUUAAGAGAAUAGCAAGAGAUUUGUGGCAAUUGGCAUUAGUCCUCUGUUCACUGUUUCUUAAUUUUUAGUUAUAUAUGUCAAGAAAUAUGGUAAUUGACUAUCUAGAUCUUUCUUA